rnacentral:rRNA from 1 species
AGCAUAUCAAUAAGCGGAGGAAAAGAAACCAACAGGGAUUGCCCCAGUAACGGCGAGUGAAGCGGCAACAGCUCAAAUUUGAAAUCUGGCCCCCGGGUCCGAGUUGUAAUUUGCAGAGGAUGCUUUGGGCGAGGUGCCUUCCGAGUUCCCUGGAACGGGACGCCACAGAGGGUGAGAGCCCCGUCUGGUCGGACACCGAGCCCGUGUAAAGCUCCUUCGACGAGUCGAGUAGUUUGGGAAUGCUGCUCAAAAUGGGAGGUAUAUGUCUUCUAAAGCUAAAUAUUGGCCAGAGACCGAUAGCGCACAAGUAGAGUGAUCGAAAGAUGAAAAGCACUUUGAAAAGAGGGUUAAAAAGUACGUGAAAUUGUUGAAAGGGAAGCGCCUAUGACCAGACUUGGGCCCGGUGAAUCAUCCAGCGUUCUCGCUGGUGCACUUUGCCGGGCACAGGCCAGCAUCAGUUUGGCGCGGGGGACAAAGGCUUCGGGAAUGUGGCUCCCUCGGGAGUGUUAUAGCCCGCUGCGUAAUACCCUGCGCCGGACUGAGGUACGCGCAUCGCAAGGAUGCUGGCGUAAUGGUCAUCAGCGACCCGUCUUGAAACACGGACCAAGGAGUCGUCUUCGUAUGCGAGUGUUCGGGUGUCAAACCCCUACGCGGAAUGAAAGUGAACGCAGGUGAGAGCUUCGGCGCAUCAUCGACCGAUCCUGAUGUUCUCGGAUGGAUUUGAGUAAGAGCAUACGGGGCCGGACCCGAAAGAAGGUGAACUAUGCCUGUAUAGGGUGAAGCCAGAGGAAACUCUGGUGGAGGCUCGCAGCGGUUCUGACGUGCGAAUCGAUCGUCAAAUAUGGGCAUGGGGGCGAAAGACUAAUCGA